rnacentral:rRNA from 1 species
AACGGAACUAUUUUGGAAACUCCUUCGGGAGCGGAAUCUUUAGUUUAGUGGCGGACGGGUGAGUAACGCGUGAGCAAUCUGCCUUUAAGAGGGGGAUAACAGUCGGAAACGGCUGCUAAUACCGCAUAAAGCAUUGAAACCGCAUGAUUUUGAUGCCAAAGGAGCAAUCCGCUUUUAGAUGAGCUCGCGUCUGAUUAGCUGGUUGGCGGGGUAACGGCCCACCAAGGCGACGAUCAGUAGCCGGACUGAGAGGUUGAACGGCCACAUUGGGACUGAGACACGGCCCAGACUCCUACGGGAGGCAGCAGUGGGGAAUAUUGCGCAAUGGGGGAAACCCUGACGCAGCAACGCCGCGUGAUUGAAGAAGGCCUUCGGGUUGUAAAGAUCUUUAAUCAGGGACGAAACAAAUGACGGUACCUGAAGAAUAAGCUCCGGCUAACUACGUGCCAGCAGCCGCGGUAAUACGUAGGGAGCAAGCGUUAUCCGGAUUUACUGGGUGUAAAGGGCGCGCAGGCGGGCCGGCAAGUUGGAAGUGAAAUCUAUGGGCUUAACCCAUAAACUGCUUUANAAACUGCUGGUCUUGAGUGAUGGAGAGGCAGGCGGAAUUCCGUGUGUAGCGG